AGGGUGACAUUGACCAGCCGGAGUCCGGAUUAGGCUCGAGAAGAAGCAAAGCGACCUUGCAACUGCGGGACUUCGGAUCCAAAGUUAGUGCAGCAACAAUCGCCGGUCAGUAUUACGAUCCAAGGCGCUGUCCCUCUUGAAAACCUGCAGUCAAGCUAGCUGCAGAGAUGAGGGGAAGGAGACAAGGGAGAGAAAGAGGGGAAGGGAAGACAGGAGCCAGAGUAGGGGUGGCGAAAGUGAAACUUUGCUUGUAGGGAGAAAGAUCCCUAAUCUGAACUAUUCGCAAUCGCCACCGCUAACCAUAGAUCCAUCAGCCCUAAAUUACAGGAAAUGACUUAACUAAACAAUGAACUUUUAAAGAGUCCAUAACAAGAUUUUCUUUUUUUAAAGAGCAGUGAAUGAGGCAAGCGAGAGGCACGGAUUACAGAACGAAGAGCGAGCUCUCCUUUUCGUACCAGCGCCUAUGGAAAGGGAGGUUUCAGGACCGCGGACAGCGCAGGCGAUUUCUGUUCGAGGUCCGUCUCUGCUCAAGAAGGCGAACGCGCUAAAAACAGCAGGUUGGAAGGACGUUUCAGCACCUUUGAAAGCGCCUAGACCGGAGGGUCGGGACCGCGGCCGCGCCACCGCCUCCCAUGGUCGCCUUCCGAAGCCGCCUUGCCUGCAAAAGUCCCUGAUGUUGGAGGCGAAGUAGGAACGCCGCGUUGCUUUCAGGACCAAGGACAGCUCAGCUCCGCCCCGCGGAAAGUGCUUCCCUUUUUAAUCAGCGCUCACACCUCUCAACUUGCUGGGUUUAGUUUGGAAUUCUUCUUCUCCUUCUUCCUCCUCCUCUACUUUUUUUUUUUAAACCAAGAACCCAAGUUCACGUGCCUCACUGCCUCUCUCCUGAUUGGCUGGCCAGCUUUUAGGGUGAUGUCACACACAUGCCACACAGCAAGGAAACUUGAUCGCUCCUCGGUUUGAUUAAAAGAGACACUGAAUUAAUUACAGCCCAGAUCCAACUGUUAACCGGCAAUUUCCACCCUGUUUCCUAUCAUUACGCCACUGAUGAAGUUCUAAAUAGGGUUAUUAGCAAUGCGGUGUGUGUGCGUGUGGGGGAGAUCUAGUGUGUGUGUGUGAAGUUGGGUGCAUUUUUAAAACUGCUUAUUUUAGGUUCACAAUUAGCUGAAUCAUUGUCUCCCUUUAUGCGUGCUGAUGAAAGUUUUUUUUUUAAAAAAAAUAUUACCGUGUGCGCGUUUUCACAGAAAAAGGAUAAUUAUAUAGGUACUCAGCAAAAGCCAGGCAAGCGAUUUUUUAAUUUUUUUAAAAAACAAACUUAAGCUCUUUGAAAUUGUUCUAACAAUUCCCGCCCCCCCGGCAAAAAAAAAUUCCAUUUGGCGCCCUUACCUUUUCCUCAGCAAAACAUUUUCUAUAAUCGGCGACACUCUAUCUGGCCUAAAUUGGAAAGAUUAAGAAGAAUCCUAUUGAUUAUUGUAUUCUUAAAAGAGCGAGCGAGCGUUGAAUUUCGCAGGUCUAUGUAUUGUUACUCGAAAGAAAAUCCCCCGGACUGGGGUUGGCCCCAACUAAGUCGCCUUGGAUUCCAGCCUUAGCUGGUGUUUUGUAGACGGAUGGUAGAUGCUUCGUGGUUUGUGUAAGAAUUAAAGCUACGCGUAUAACUACCUGGGAGUAAAUCCCACUGGACUCAGUGAGUCUUGUUUCCAAGUAAAUGCAUACGAUUUGGCUGUGUUUAUUGGCAGUGGCUGGUUCAUACGGUGGUAAUAAUACUUGAGGAAAAAAUCCAUGAUUUUGAUCCUAAAUUUGAACUUAGGAGCGAAGCAUUCUCCGACAAGUAAAUGUAUUUAUUUAGUUAUUUAUUUUUGUAUCCACACAUUUCAUUUGCACAGAUGUUCUGUUGAAUCCAGAGUGGCAUCAAUCACACACCAAUAACAAACACACGGUCGGUUUGGAAAAGAUAAAAAGUCCCAAGAAUGUCAAGGGAACUUGUUUUUUUAAAAAAUAAUCGGGAAAAUUUCCAACCUAGUUUCUUGAAGUUAUUGACACUCUGGUGGUGAAUUCUCAGUUCAGGAUUCUUAACGAGAUGCCCGUUCAUUUGAAACCAAGAAGGCUUUACUAAGGGACUAGGAAAGAUCCAGUUGCGUCGACAGAAAAUAAAAAGAUCUGUGGGGUCUUUUACUGUACUUUUUACAUGUCUUAAACUGAAUUUAAGAUUGGAGGAGGACCACUUCCAUUCAGAUCAUCGCUUUCUUCCACGUUUUGAGAUAGCGGUUACACACCACCAACCUUAACUACCGCCACCCCCUUUUUUACAGCCUUGGAACCAACUACGUUCCGGGGCGCUUUCCUCUCAACUCCACUUCAGAAGGCGCACCAGAGACGCCGCCACGUCGCUCAACCUCUCUGGAAGGCAGCUUGAAGUCAACGAAAAAUAUGGCUACAUUAAAGUCCAAAAGAGCCUUUGCAUGAUUUAGUGUGAUCUCCCCACCCCCGUGUCCGCCCCCGAAUAAUAUCCUCUCAGGAAAGAGACAUCAGAUCGGCCUUCUCUGGCCUGAUAAAAGACCUACCGGAUUCUCCCAGGAAACUUCACACGCAUAGAGAUUCCAACGCAUUUUUAAAGGGGAUGGGAAAGAACAGUAAAGGCAUGAGAGGAAAAGGGCAUAUUUUUGGGAGGACCUGGAUUGUUAAAACGAACAAAUAAACAAACAAACUAACAAACAAUAAUAAUCCACGGUAGAGCUUUUAUGUCUCUAGGGUUGUAAAACACACAUCGAAAUGAACACCAACCCCCCUGAAACUGACCAGAUUCCAGAAGGAAUGAGUCCUAAAGCAGUCUCCCUCUCUACAUAAAAAGGGUGAUUUGUGUUGAUGUUUCCUGCCCACAGGUCAAUCCGAGCAAUGUUUUCCCAAGGAGUAAGUCUCGCUAAAUUCAAUGGGAUCAUGGCGGCGUUAAAGCCUCCUGAGUUGACGUGCAGAAUAUCAUUGAACCCUAAACCUUCCUGGUUCUUAAUAGUGUUCACAAGGAAGUAAGCUCCAUUGAUCCCAAGGGCCAUGCUCCCCACUAGAACUUAGGGAGUUUAUUUUUUUUAAAGUCAGCAAUCCUAACCCCACUUACCUGAGAGUAAGACCCAUUGCAUUCAGUCAGACUUACUUUUGAGUAUACGUGGUUAGGAUUGCGCUGCAAGGCCUCGCUGAGACGUACUAACAAGUGCUUAGAACUACAGCCCUGGACCCGAUCCUGUGCUAUGAUAUUUCUAUUUGGCAUUCACCCCAGGCUGUUAUUUUAUUUCGGUCCCCACCCCCCACCGCCCAAUUCUCAAUUUAUCUUUUUUUAAAAAAAAACAUUUCCUUUCUUCCUCUCCUCUCAAUUUAUCUUCUCCUUCUUUCUCCCUCUUUUCCUCUGGACUCUCCACCUCUCCGAGACGGUCCCUUUCGACUCAGCAGCUUGCGAGCGGCCGCUGGAGCGGCCGGGGAGGCGCUCUCUCGGCGGGAGUUGAACUCUUUCCCUAGAGGGGGGGCCCUAGGACGGUUGCAAGCUGUCGGAGUGCACGGGGAGGAGAAGGAGGGGAGGAAGGGGGGGAGCCCGGCACCAACUGACGGGCUGUUGGAAGUUUCUGCUCAGACUUUUUUGUUCCUGCAGACAGACCCUCCAUCCAUAACCCCUUAACACAAUAGGAAAAAGCACGCGGGUGUGUGUUGAUCCUUCCUUGUCUUGUGGAGGGGUGUGUGUGUGUGUGUGUGUGUGUGUGUGUGUGUGCGUUCCUACAUUCUGGAUCUGCCCUCCCAGCUGAAUCACGACCUACGCUUUUCAGCUCCCCCUUGAUCCACAACGCAGUAAAAUCCACAAAGCCACGCCUUUGAAACUGACAAGGUUUUAAUAAAUUUCAAAGCUGUAACCUAAGCUUUUCUUGAUGGCUGCAUUUAAUCGUCGUCGUCCCCACCCCGCUCUUACUUACACUCUCUCUCUCUCUCUCUCUCUCUCUCUCUCUCUCUCCUGUAUCAUUGCUGGUUGAAAGUGGAUCACAUGAGCCGCUUGGGAGGGCAGGAUGAGACUCAGCUCGAGGAACAGGAUCUGAGCAGAAACCACCGUAGCUCAGUGGCAGAGCACUGCCUUGGAGACGGAAGGUUCUAAUCCUUAGAGCCGUCUCUAGGUAGGGCUGGGAGGGAUCCUGCUCGGAAUACUAGCUAGAUGGACCAAUUGUGGCACUCGGCCAGCUUCUUCCUAUGUUCCUAUUUAUAAUCCCGCACUUCUGAUGCCUGGCUCCGCUGUUGUCCCAUAAAUGAGACCCGUUUCUUAGGGACUUUCCUCUUCAAGAAAAGCAAGUUAAGUUGUGGCCUGGACUGUCAGUUUCGUAAGGAAAUAAAAGUGUAAUCCAUAUCAAUUUUUGUUCUCCCCAAAGAAAAAAGGGAACGUGAGCAAGAGGUUCCCCAGCCAGCUCGGGACGCAAACGUGUUCAAGGCACUUGCGCUAACAACAACAACAUAUUUGCAUUUAUAAAGAAUUUUUAUAAAUUCCCUUAUACUCACCAAAUAAAAGCAAAUAUUUUCCGUUGAUUUAGCCUAUUUCAGUCCUUCGGACUUAUACGUGAAGUGGUUUUUUAAAAAAAAAAAUUAUAAAGUAAAUAAUUUUUGAUUUUUUGGAAAUACUCUUCCACCCCAAAUGUCAUUAGGCAGCACAACGCGGUCUCCCCAAGUGGCAGUUCAGGUUAAGGAACUUUUCCGACCGCAAGAGUUUGCAAUUCUAGGCGCAGCUAAUUAGAAGUAAGUCCCAUUGCAUUCAAUGGGGCUUACUCCCGGAGUACGUGGGUAUAUUUAGGAUUGCAACCUCAGAGUCCAACUGAAUUGCCAAACUCUUCCAGUUAGUGACCGUCCGUUCCUGCACCUCACGCUCCCCCCUGCCUAUUCUUAUAUACCGCUCAGUACUCAAACAAGUCUCUAAAUGGCUUUAAACAGGGUAAUAAGUUGUUAGCGUUUCAUAAACUACCUCUUUUUACUUACUUUUGUAAGUAAUCAUCAUAUUCCUCUUAGUGGGUCUUACUUCUGAGUAACAAGCAUACGGUAUAUGUGGUAUUAUAGUACUAAUAUACAUACUGGGUAAUUAGCAGAAUGAGAUUCUAUUGUGGGGGUGGGUAGAGAGUUAUCUUUUUGUGAAUCCUUAUAGACUGGCUAUUAAAUAAGUGUAUAUUACAAGUUUAUCAUUAUCAAUAUUAUCAUCAUUAUUACAUUUAUUACUUGCCCUUCAGCAGGUUCCAGGAGUGGUUACAACCAUUU